GGGGGAUAACGUUCGGAAACGGACGCUAAUACCGCAUACGUCCUACGGGAGAAAGGGGGGGACCUUCGGGCCUUGCGCUAUCAAAUGAGCCUAGGUCGGAUUAGCUAGUUGGUGGGGUAAUGGCUCACCAAGGCGACGAUCCGUAACUGGUCUGAGAGGAUGAUCACUCACACUGGAACUGAGACACGGUCCACACUCCUACGGGAGGCAGCAGUGGGGAAUAUUGGACAAUGGGCGAAAGCCUGAUCCAGCCAUGCCGCGUGUGUGAAGAAGGUCUUCGGAUUGUAAAGCACUUUAAGUUGGGAGGAAGGGUUGUAGAUUAAUACUCUGCAAUUUUGACGUUACCGACAGAAUAAGCACCGGCUAACUCUGUUGCCAGCAGCCGCGGUAAUACAGAGGGUGCA
rnacentral:rRNA from 1 species